AGCCCUGAGUGAUAGCUCAGUCGGUAGAGCAUAAGAAUCUUAAUCUCAGGGUUGUGGGUUUGAGUCUCACGUUGGCUG